rnacentral:rRNA from 1 species
GACGAACGCUGGCGGCGUGCUUAACACAUGCAAGUCGAACGGAAAGGCCCUGCUUUUGUGGGGUGCUCGAGUGGCGAACGGGUGAGUAACACGUGAGUAACCUGCCCUUGACUUUGGGAUAACUUCAGGAAACUGGGGCUAAUACCGGAUAGGAGCUCCUGCUGCAUGGUGGGGGUUGGAAAGUUUCGGCGGUUGGGGAUGGACUCGCGGCUUAUCAGCUUGUUGGUGGGGUAGUGGCUUACCAAGGCUUUGACGGGUAGCCGGCCUGAGAGGGUGACCGGCCACAUUGGGACUGAGAUACGGCCCAGACUCCUACGGGAGGCAGCAGUGGGGAAUAUUGCACAAUGGGCGGAAGCCUGAUGCAGCAACGCCGCGUGCGGGAUGACGGCCUUCGGGUUGUAAACCGCUUUCGCCUGUGACGAAGCGUGAGUGACGGUAAUGGGUAAAGAAGCACCGGCUAACUACGUGCCAGCAGCCGCGGUGAUACGUAGGGUGCGAGCGUUGUCCGGAUUUAUUGGGCGUAAAGGGCUCGUAGGUGGUUGAUCGCGUCGGAAGUGUAAUCUUGGGGCUUAACCCUGAGCGUGCUUUCGAUACGGGUUGACUUGAGGAAGGUAGGGGAGAAUGGAAUUCCUGGUGGAGCGGUGGAAUGCGCAGAUAUCAGGGGGAACACCAGUGGCGAAGGCGGUUCUCUGGGCCUUUCCUGACGCUGAGGAGCGAAAGCGUGGGGAGCGAACAGGCUUAGAUACCCUGGUAGUCCACGCUGUAAACGGUGGGUACUAGGUGUGGGGUCCAUUCCACGGGUUCCGUGCCGUAGCUAACGCUUUAAGUACCCCGCCUGGGGAGUACGGCCGCAAGGCUAAAACUCAAAGGAAUUGACGGGGCCCCGCACAAGCGGCGGAGCAUGCGGAUUAAUUCGAUGCAACGCGUAGAACCUUACCCGGGUUUGACAUGGAUCGGGAGCGCUCAGAGAUGGGUGUGCCUCUUUUGGGGUCGGUUCACAGGUGGUGCAUGGCUGUCGUCAGCUCGUGUCGUGAGAUGUUGGGUUAAGUCCCGCAACGAGCGCAACCCUUGUUCACUGUUGCCAGCACGUUAUGGUGGGGACUCAGUGGAGACCGCCGGGGUCAACUCGGAGGAAGGUGGGGAUGACGUCAAGUCAUCAUGCCCCUUAUGUCCAGGGCUUCACGCAUGCUACAAUGGCUGGUACAGAGAGUGGCGAGCCUGUGAGGGUGAGCGAAUCUCGGAAAGCCGGUCUCAGUUCGGAUUGGGGUCUGCAACUCGACCUCAUGAAGUCGGAGUCGCUAGUAAUCGCAGAUCAGCAACGCUGCGGUGAAUACGUUCCCGGGGCU